GUGCCAGCCGCCGCGGUAAUACGAAGGAUCCAAGCGUUGUCCGGAUUUACUGGGUUUAAAGGGUGCGUAGGCGGACUAAUAAGUCAGUGGUGAAAGCCGGUAGCUUAACUAUCGAACUGCCAUUGAAACUGCUAGUCUCGAGUACGGUUGAGGUGGCUGGAAUGUAUCAUGUAGCGGUGAAAUGCUUAGAUAUGAUACAGAACACCAAUUGCGAAGGCAAGUCACUAAACCGUAACUGACGCUGAGGCACGAAAGCGUGGGGAGCAAACAGGAUUAGAAACCCGCGUAGUCC
rnacentral:rRNA from 1 species